CUAACUGAAUCUGGGAUUGCAUCUCUAUUAGCAGAAGGAAAGGUUCCAAUUGGUAUCGGUAGAGAGACAAAGAUCAGGAAAUGCAUCAUUGACAAGAACUCUCAUGGAGUUUCAGCGCAUCUUUGAACUGAAGGGUCUUAAGAAAGCUGAUCAGCAGAGCAUACUUGAUGAUUUCAACAAGCAUGGCCCAGGGUUUACAGAGCCCUCUGU